UUUUUUCUUUUUUUUUUUUCUUUUUGCUUUUUAGGGUCACACCCACGGCAUAUGGAAGUUCUCAGGCUAGGGGUACAACUGGAGCUGCAGCUGCUGGCCUACACCACAGCCACAGCAACACCAAAUCCAAGCCACAUCUGUGACCUACACCACAGCUCAUAGCAAUACUGCAUCCCCACCAAGCGAGGCCAGGGAUCAAACCCACAUCCUCAUGAAUACUAGUCGGAUUCAUUUCUGCUUCCCCAAAAUGGGAACUGUUGGAGGCAUGAAUAUGCGACGUGUCAAAGAAUGGAAAGAAAAGACUGGCUCCAUAGCGUGGCUGUAGAGGUCAGUCUAUACUUUACAAAGUCUUGUGACUGUCUCAUGACCCUUGAGGCAAAACAAAUGAGAACAACAUCAAAGGAUGGCAUCUUGAAAACAAGAUUGCGGAAGCAUUGAUGUUGCUGAUGGAAAACCAUCAGCUCUGACAUUCUCAGGACUGGAGCCUUGGGGGAUUUAUGGGAGAGGCCUUAGAAGGCUUGAAGCAAACAAUAAAUUAUGGCCUGAGAGGGCUGAAACAUUUAUGAUUACUUUAUGUGCUUAAGAAUGACUGUCCUAGCAUAUCUUGCUUCCAAUAAGUUUGAAGUAAAAUAACUAUGUAUCCCCUGCACGUACAAGGAAGGAGAAAAUAGUAAAGAAAAACCAUGACUGGCUCAGAGGGUUGCUGUUGCCUCUUGAAGGCAGCAGCCCCCUGAUCCCCACUCUAUUUCUGUGUCUCUUUCUUCUUAUUUCUGCGUCAGGCACCGCUGACUUUGGGACCUAGGUUAACGAGCAGGCCUCGUCAGGGAACUCCGUUUUUGUUUUUGUUUUUAAAUGGCACUCUAUCAUACACUUCUACUUACUACGAAUGGCAAAUAGUGAUAAACUAAUGUGUGUAUUAUAUAUUCUCAAAACAUGAAACAUAGGCUACCAUGUCCAACAGUAUUGAUAGGUGAAUCCUCAUUAGAUACAUGUUUUUUGUUUUUUCGUGUUUUUUUGUUUGUUUGGACAUUCAGUAAGGAUUUUCUCAUGGGACCAGGUUUAAGUCUGUCACUCAUUGUGUGAGCCUAAAUUUCUAGAACUUUCUUUAGCUACAAAUUGUUAAUUGGGGCUAUGUAACUAAAUUCUGUGAAUCCAGAACAUCAAGUCAAUUAAAAUGUGCGGUUUUAUGCUCCUUUUAUUUCAAACAUUAGAAAACCAGAGCUCAGAGAGUUUACAGGUUGUUAAUAAGUAUUGAGGAGAAAGACCUUGGUGUUUCAGAGAACAGGCUUCAGGGACCAGGUGCUCAGGUUCGAAUCUGGCCUCCACUGCUUGCUUGCUUGCUCUGCGCCUUAAUGCAAGUUGUUUAAACUUUCUGCACUUUUAAAAUUAUCUACAAUAAUAAUGUCUAUGCAUAACGUUGAUAUAAAUAUUCAAUUCCUUAAUAUACAUAAAGUGCUAAGGACAGUGCCGGAUUCAUAAGCUGCAUUAACUGUCAGCUCCCAUUCUUACAAAUCACCUUAACACCAGUUAACAAGACAGAAGGUCCUGGCCACAUAAACAGUGCUUUUAAAACUGUACCACCUGCCCUCUAAUAUAGUGGGUUAUUAACAAUCAACAUACAUGGAUAUAUAUACAGACAUAUUGGGUCUGCCAUGUAUUCUGUACUGUGCUAAGCACCCUACUACCUUUUCUCUUCAAGUGUCACAAUGAUCCUAUAAGGUGAGUAUUACAGCAUGACCUUCUUGCAAUUUCAAAAUUAAAGAAGCUCUGAACACUGUGUCUCAUAAUUCAGUGGAUAACUUAACUUGAACUCCUCCAGAGGCAGAAUCUGACUUGAAUUGACAUAAGGCUAUUUAUAGGCUUUAUUCCAUUUAGCGUGAACAUUUUUGUGACUCACUAGAGAAAUUUAAUAUUUUUUAUAAUGGAAUGCUGUUCCAGGUCCCCUCAGGAUGCUAACAGUUAAUAUACAUUAUUAGGCUGUUAGUUAAUAUAUAGUGAUUUCACUUCAUUGCCUUUUAUCACUUGAAACUGCUGAAUUCUAUCAAUUUUGGAUGAUGUAAAUAUUUUAUACUUUUUUUUUUUUUGUCUUUUUGUCUUUUUCUAGGGCCACACCUGCAACAUAGGGAGGUUCCCGGCUAGGGGUGUAAUCAGAGCUAUAGCCACCGGCCCAUGCCAGAGCCACAGCAACGCAGGAUCCCAGCCACGUCUGCAACCUACACCACAGCUCACGGCAAUGCCGGAUCCUUAACCCACAGAGCGAGGCCAGGGAUCGAACCCCAAAACCUCAUUCAUGGUUCCUAGUCAGAUUUGUUAACCACCGAGUCACGACGGGAACUCCCUAUUUUAUACCGAUUGUGGUAACAGUUGUACAAACACUGUCAAUUUACUAAAAAUCAUUGAUUUAUACACUUAAAACAGAUCAAUGUUACAUUUUGAUCCCUGGCCUCUCUCAGUGGGUUAAGUAUCCUGAGUUGGAGUUUCCAUUGCAGCUCAGCAGGUUAAGAACCUGACAAGCAUUCAUGAGGAUGCAGGUUUGAUCCCUGGCCUCGCACAGUGUGUUAAGGAUCUGGCCUUGCCAUAAGUUGUGGUGCAGGUCAUAGAGGUGGUUCAGAUCUGGAAUUGCUGUGGCUGUAGCAUAGGCUGGCAGCUGUAGCUCCAAUUCGUCCCCUGGCCUAGGAACUUCUAUAUGCUACAGGUACAGCCCUAAAAACGAAAAAGAAAAAAUAUAUCUCAUUAUCAGAAAUAAUAAAGUUAAUAAAGAAACAUCCAUAAUCUUUCAAGUUUAAUAUUGCCAUUGACAUGGUGUUCAGUGUUUUACUUGUGUGCUAUCUUUAUAUGGUUUUAUUUUAUUUUAUUUUAUUUUAUUUAUUUUUUGUCUUUUGUCUUUUUUUAGGGCUGCAGCCUUGGCAUAUGGAGGUUCCCAAGCUAAGGGUCCAAUUAGAGCUACAGCUGCUGGCCUUCACCACAGCAACAGCAACGUGGGAGCCAAGCCGCAUCUGCAACCUACACCAUAGCUCAUGGCAACGCUGGAUCCUUAACCCACUGAACGAGGCUAGGGAUCGAACCCGCAACCUCAUGGUUACUAGUUGGGUUUGUUAACCACUUAGUCACUAUGGGAACUCCAGGGUUUUAGUUUAUAAUGAUGUAUUAAGGAGUUCUGCAACAGUUUUCACAAAAAAGGAAAGGAAACAACAAAAAUGUACUGAAAAGAAUAGUAAAGGGAAUUCAUGAAAAAUCAAUAAAAUUGAAAAAUAAGUCCAAAUACCACCUUUUUAAUAAUUUUCCUGAGUUAUCCCACUCCAUCAGAAUUUAUUUUCUCCCUUUACGUUUCCAUACUUUAUGACUUUAUAAUAAAAUUUAAUAACAUGUUCUAGUUAUCUGCACCUGUCAUAUAGCAUCUUUGACAGCAAAGACAGUUUUAUUCAUUUUUGUAUUACUUGUGGCGCAUAAAGAAUGCUUAAGUAGUGGUCAACUGAGUAACUGAAUUAUAUUGAACUACUUCCUCAAUAAAACUUAUAUACAUAAUUUUUUUUUUCAAAAUUCCAAAAUACAUCUGAUCCUGGGUUUUGAUUAAGGGAUUAUUGGUCAUUAUUGUCAUACCAGUUUUAUAAAAAUAGAAACCAAAAGUUGGAAAUGUUAAAUUACUGCCUCAAGAUGACACCACUAUUAAAUGGUGGAGCUGGUAUUCCAAUUCGCGUCUGGCAGAUUUAGAACCCAAAUCCUAGUCUGCUCCUUUUGAAGAUCUUCAAAAUUGUGGGUAUAUGGAGUUCCCAUCGUGGUGCAGUGGGAGUUCCCAUCGUGGCACAGUGGUUAAUGAAUCCCUGACUAGGAACCAUGAGGUUGAGCGUUCGAUCCCUGGCCUUGCUCAGUGGGUUGAGGAUCUGGCGUUGCCUUGAGCUGUGGUGCAGGUUGCAGACACAGCUCCACAGCUCCGAUUAGACCCCUAGCCUGGGAACCUCCACAUGCCACGGGAGUGGCUCAAGAAAUGGCAAAAAGACAAAAAAAAGAAAAAAAAAAGAAAUUGUGGGUAUAAUAUUAACAAAUAAGUGAUGUUGAGAAAGAAAAUAUAUCCUGUAAUUUACCUGUCAAUGCUACAGAAUUUAAACUUUUUCUAACAGAGUUGGGAAUUUUCGUAAUGUGGGGGGAUUAGAACAUUAAUCAAUCUCCCUUCUUCUCUUCAGAGUCUACUUGCUCUAUAAGAAUACUCACAACUCUGGUCUGUAUUCCUCUCUUUGUCUAUUCUUUUUAAAUUGUAAGAAUCACCCGGACUAAACUCAACAGCCAGAAUCAGAUAAGACAGUAAAGAACCAAAAUGAAAACAUUUAUCACCAAUUGGAUUUUCUUUUUAUCAUCAAGCUCUUUAACAAAUUAUCUCCCAAAGCUCAUCUUCUCCUGGUUGAAUCGGAAUAUGAUGAGGCCAUGAGAUGAUCUGUCAGAGUUAAAAAGCAAUAAAUAUAGUGCUGUUCAGUUUCCUGGGAAAGAUCAAAUAUUUUGAGUUUGACUUCCUUUCUAUCCCUAAAAAACAUUUCAGAAGGAAAAGACUGAUGGAUUCCUCAUUGGUCUUUUUCCUUUGUAUGUUUUGUUAGUUUUUUUUUUUUUUUUAAGCCGGGCUGUGAAAAGUUGUUGUUCAUUAAUGAAACUCAGAAAGUAGUCAGAUCCCUUUGAAGUUUAAGGCAGCAUCUGUUCCACUCAAGGAGGUCCUGCUGUGUAGCACUGGGGACCCCAUCUAGUCACUUAUGAUGGAGCAUGAUAAUGUGAGAAAAAAGAAUGUAUACAUGUAUGUGUGAUGGGAUCACCUUGCUGUACAGUAGAAAAUGGACAGAACGCUGUAAACCAGCCAUAAUAAAAAAAUAAA
rnacentral:lncRNA from 1 species